CCUGCCCCUAGAGGAAUUGCAGGUGUGACUGUUGUAUCACAUGUGCAUCAGCAGGUGGCAGAGAAGAGAGGCUAUGUUUCUUAGAUCAGUGUUCUGACCUAUGAACAUGAGAGUUGCUCCCAAGAACUUU